AUGGCGCGCCUACUGCUGCACCUCGAGCGCCGGGCAGGGAAGGUGGCGCUGCGAGAGCAGGGGAGGCGAGACGGCGCGGAGAGAGGAGAAGAAGGGCUCGAGGAUGGAGAGGUCCUAUGGAAAAUUAAGAAAUGCUAUCCAGUCUCACCUGAUUUUGCUGCCAACUUCCAUCAGUACGGCUCCUCCUUUGCAUCAACCAUUAGUCAUCACUCAUUUAUCAGAACCUGCGCCGCCGCCGACCGCCUCUGGACGCUGCCUCGGUGUGGGGGUGGGGUUGUGGAUGGCUCACGCGUGGGGGGAGUGGAGAGGUGGAGCUGCUCCUGCCGUCGUGCGUGA
rnacentral:rRNA from 1 species